UCCUUCUCCUGUCAUGCAUCUCCUUCUGAGUGCAGCCGGGACAUUUUUCCAGCUUUAAGGACUCACAUGAUUGGAUCCACCAGGAUAAUUCAGGAUAAUCUCCUUUCUCAAGAUCUUUAACUUUAAGCAUAUGUGCAGUCCCUUUGCCAUGAAAGUUCACCUACCUCCUUCUACAUUUUGAGAAACGAAGGAGAAAAGAGAAGAAAAGAGAAAAGAACACAAUGGCAUUAAUCCCUGUUGCUUACACUCCUGUGGUUAAAGAAGGAGAUGAUCAAAAGUAAGAAAAGCACUACUCAAAGUGCGAUUUGUGGACUGGCUGCUGGUCUGCAAAUUGCUCUCCCGAUCUACAAGCAGUUAACAGCUUGCUCCAGAAUAAAACCACAGUGCAUUUAGCUGUCAUAUCUUCCAAGUCUCCUCUGAUCUGUGCCAGUUUCUCGGUCUUUCCUUGGUGGUCAUGACCUUGAAAGUCUUGAGGACAAUCAUUCAGAACCCAGCCUAGAAUUUUGCAGUCUUUCAAUUGUUCUGAAUGGAAAAUCAUAUUAGUGAUUCUCAUUAAUAUUUUAGGA